rnacentral:lncRNA from 1 species
AACCAGGGCAGCUGGCACAGGGAUUGGCUUCUUGGUCUCUGAUUUCCACUCCAGCACUUUGGCCAUCAGAGGAUCCUGUGUGAGCUCAGCUGAGCCAGCCCCAACACCCCCCAGCAGCUUUUGGUGGGCAGUGGCAGCGGUCCCUGUGCAGGGCAGGAGCCUGGGGAAGCAGGGGCUGGGUGCUGCUGGUCCCUGGAAGAAGGACUUCUACCCCAGUGCUUUGUGAAGAGGACAUGAGGGCAAAGUACUAAUUUGCCCCUAGCAAGACACCCUGGAGUUAUUUAUAAAUGCGAGCCCCUGGGUGCACUUCUGACGGGACCAGCACCCUGACGGCCAUGAGAGGGUGGAGACAGCGCACCCCGAGCUCAGGGAGGCAGGAAACUCUGGACCUGGAGGCCGGGCACCAUGAGGGACACGCUGCAGGCCCAGCUGCUGCCGCCUGGGGCGGGGCUGCCCUGCAGGCUCCGGGAAAACCCAGAACCAGGCCGGAUCAGCGUGUGUCAAGAGGCGGGGCGUGAGAGAUGAGCUGCUUUUUUUCUUCACAGGGUUGGCA